UACAGAGGUCCCAAGCGUUGUUCGGAUUCACUGGGCGUAAAGGGUGCGUAGGUGGCCAGGUAAGUUUGGUGUGAAAGCUCGGAGCUUAACUCCGAAAAGUCAUUGAAUACUAUCUGGCUGGAGGGUCGGAGGGAGACUGGAAUUCUCGGUGUAGCAGUGAAAUGCGUAGAUAUCGAGAGGAACACCAGUGGCGAAGGCGAGUCUCUGGACGACUCCUGACACUGAGGCACGAAGGCCAGGGAGCAAACGG
rnacentral:rRNA from 1 species